rnacentral:misc_RNA from 1 species
GUGAAUCAUCGAAUCUUUGAACGCAACUUGCGCUCUUUGGUAUUCCGAAGAGCAUGCCUGUUUGAGUGUCAUGAAAUCUCAACCAUUAGGGUUUCUUAAUGGAUUGGAUUUGGGUGUUGCCAGCUUGUCUGGCUCGCCUUAAAAGAGUUAGCGAGUUUAGCAAUGUCGUCUGGCGUAAUAAGUUUCGCUGGAUAAGGCUUGUGAAGCGCGCUUCUAAUCGUCUUCGGACAAUUUCUUGAACUCUGGCCUCAAAUCAGGUAGGACUACCCGCUGAACUUAAGCAUAUCAAUAAGCGGAGGA